AGCUGCAUAUUGUGAGGAGAUGCAGCAUGCAUGCUAACAAUCCAUUUAUCUCUACUCAGGUGAUAUCUUUGAUCAAGAGACUGAAGAGGUGACUUUUCUGCUCUUUCUCCUGUAAACACUUAAGCAAGGACUCCAGAGUAAAAAGAAGACUCUGAUGGAACACUGCAUUCAUAAAACAAAAAAGAAGAAACAAAUCACAAAAAAGAAACAUUCAAAGACAAGGACAGAAGCUAGAAAUCAGCGUGGGAGGUCGCUCUCUGCAAGUCACAAGUUACUGGGGUACGUGAGUCCAGGGACAGCAAGAGAGGGACCAGAGGCCAGAUAAAGGCUUUUCUGAGCAGGAAAUUGGAAGAAGGUCUGUCAAUAUUCUUCACGAAACCUGCUUUCUGGCAGAGAAUUGCGUUUUCAACCAAACACCUAUUUCCAAGAAAACUGUCUGCUGGAAAAUAUCAGUAUUCCACAAAAAAAUGGACUGCCAAAAAAAAAAAAGUUUUGAUGUGGAUAUACUCCUCUAUUGCCUCGUGGUUGUUGUAGUUAGGUUGCUUCUCAACCGCGCGGACGUCCCUGACUGACAGCUCAGCUUGUACCCCUGCUGGUGCUGCAGCCCCCGCCUGCACCCUCAGG
rnacentral:lncRNA from 1 species